rnacentral:rRNA from 1 species
GGACGAAGGGGGCUAGCGUUGUUCGGAAUUACUGGGCGUAGAGCGCGUGUAGGCGGUUGUUCAAGUCAGGUGUGAAAGCCUUGAGCUCAACUCAAGAAAUGCACUUGAUACUGGAUGACUAGAGGACCGGAGAGGAUAGUGGAAUUCCCAGUGUAGUGGUGAAAUACGUAGAGAUUGGGAAGAACACCAGUGGCGAAGGCGGCUAUCUGGACGGUUUCUGACGCUAAGACGCGAAAGCGUGGGGAGCAAACAGG